AAAUAUUUCUUGAUUUUUUAUUUUUUUUGGUAUUAAAAUUGAGAUCAAAAGGUGUGGACCUAAAUGAUCAAAUAGCUAGUACUAUCUCGGCAAAGUGGAUAUUGAACUUACAAGGUUUUUCAACUUCUUAGUGUGAAUAUAGAGGUUAGACAUUUGAACAAUAGUAGGGUUUCUACAAUUGAAUCUUGUGUUGGGACGAAAGUGAAGAAAAUUAUAAUUGAGAGUUUCCAUCCUAUCCCUAAACGAGUUUGGUUCACAUCGGGCUUCUCAGGAACAAGUUACUAAAAAUUAAACGCAAGGUAAGAGGUUUUUUUUUUUUUUUUUUAUCAACUUGUUAGAAUUAAAAUUAAAAUUAUAUUUAAUUAAAUCCUAAAUUUUAGGAUUUAAAUUUUAUUUAGUGUUUAAAUUUUAAUUAAUUUAUAAAAUUUCUAGAAUUUAAUUUUAAAA